rnacentral:rRNA from 1 species
CACGUAGGGGCCAAGCGUUGUCCGGAUUUAUUGGGCGUAAAGAGCUCGUAGGCGGUUCAGUUAGUCGGGUGUGAAAACUCUGGGCUCAACUCAGAGACGCCACCCGAUACUGCUGUGACUUGAGUCCGGUAGGGGAGCAGGGAAUUCCAGGUGUAGCGGUGAAAUGCGCUGAUAUCUGGAGGAACACCGGUGGCGAAGGCGCUGCUCUGGGCCGGUACUGACGCUGAGGAGCGAAAGCGUGGGUAGCAAACAGG